UCCACUUGCUGAGUAUAUCUACGAGCACUACCUAUAUAAUCUUGGAGUUUGUUUGAAAUAUGAUUCUCAAUUGGAGACAAUGGAGAUAAUUAUAAGUCAAGAGAAGACUCACCAUUGGAAAGAAGAUGAUAACAAUCUUCUUAUUUUCCUUUGGGGACUAUUGGGUCAACCAAAGAUAAUUCUGUGGACAUAUGAUAUCUAUUAUAACCUAGACGCAUGGCCUCCCAUGUACGAAGGUUUCCUUGAGUAUUUUCCAAAGAUUUUAAUUUCUAAAACAGUUAUUGACUGUACUUUUAUGUAAAGUACCAUUGUAAGGUUGUGGUCGAGGCACCAUGAGAGUUACAUACAUUUGUAUUAAAACUCACAGUUUAACUGUGGUCGUAUUCUGCACGGCAGUUCAACAGUUGUAUAAAUGAAGUUUGUAAAUAAUUUUUAUAGUGUGAUAUCUGGCGACUCAGAAUGGGUCGUGUGGACCUAUUUUGGGGGCGUCACAUAUAUGAUCUUGGAGUUUGGUUGAAACAUAAUGUUCAAUUGCAAAUCGUGGAGAUUGUUAUAUGUCAAGAGAAGACUCACCAUUGGAAGGAACAUGAUAGUAAUCUUCUCGUUUUUCUUUGGGGUCUAUUGGAUUAACCAAGGAUAAUUCUCUGGACAUAUGAUAUCUAUCAUAACUUAGAUUCAUGGCCUCCUAUGUACGAAGGUUUCCUUGAGCAUUUUUCAAAGAUUUUAAUUUUUAAAACAGUUAUUGACUGUACCUUUAUGUAAGGUAUCACUGUGAG
rnacentral:lncRNA from 1 species